UCGGCUAGUGGCGGACGGGUGAGUACACGUGAGAUCUGCCUGUUGGUCGGGGAUAACAGUUGGAAACGACUGCUAAUACCGGAUGAGCCGGAAGGUAAAAGAUUUAUUGCCAACAGAAGAGCUCGCGCCUGAUUAGCUAGAUGGUGGGGUAAAAGCCUACCAUGGCGACGAUCAGUAGCUGGUCUGAGAGGAUGAGCAGCCACACUGGGACUGAGACACGGCCCAGACUCCUACGGGAGGCAGCAGUGGGGAAUUUUCCGCAAUGGGCGAAAGCCUGACGGAGCAAUACCGCGUGAGGGAGGAAGGUUCUUGGAUCGUAAACCUCAAAACUUAGGGAAGAAACAAAUGACGGUACCUAAUAUAAGCAUCGGCUAACUCCGUGCCAGCAGCCGCGGUAAUACGGAGGAUGCAAGCGUUAUCCGGAAUCAUUGGGCGUAAAGAGUCUGUAGGUGGCACUUCAAGUCUGCUGUCAAAGACCGAAGCUUAACUUCGGAAAGGCGGUGGAAACUGAAGAGCUAGAGUAAAGCAGGGGUAGAGGGAAUUCCCAGUGUAGCGGUGAAAUGCGUAGAGAUUGGGAAGAACACCAGUGGCGAAGGCGCUCUGCUGGGCUUUAACUGACACUGAGAGACGAAAGCUAGGGUAGCGAAAGGGAUUAGAUACCCCUGUAGUCCUAGCGGUAAACGAUGGAUACUAGGCGUAGACCCAUUAUGGGGCUGUGUCGAAGCAAACGCGUUAAGUAUCCCGCCUGGGGGAGUACGCACGCAAGUGUGAAACUCAAAGGAAUUGACGGGGGACCCGCACAAGCGGUGGAGUAUGUGGUUUAAUUCGAUGCAACGCGAAGAACCUUACCAAGGCUUGACAUCCGACGAAUCUUCUAGAGAUAGGAGAGUGCCUUAGGGAACGUCGUGACAGGUGGUGCAUGGCUGUCGUCAGCUCGUGUCGUGAGAUGUUGGGUUAAGUCCCGCAACGAGCGCAACCCUCGUCCUUAGUUGCCAGCAUUAAGU
rnacentral:rRNA from 1 species